GUGGCGAACGGGUGAGUAACACGUGGGCAAUCUGCCCUGCACUCUGGGACAAGCCCUGGAAACGGGGUCUAAUACCGGAUGACACUGUUCCCUUCCUGGGGGAUGGUUGAAAGCUCCGGCGGUGCAGGAUGAGCCCGCGGCCUAUCAGCUUGUUGGUGGGGUAAUGGCCUACCAAGGCGACGACGGGUAGCCGGCCUGAGAGGGCGACCGGCCACACUGGGACUGAGACACGGCCCAGACUCCUACGGGAGGCAGCAGUGGGGAAUAUUGCACAAUGGGCGAAAGCCUGAUGCAGCGACGCCGCGUGAGGGAUGACGGCCUUCGGGUUGUAAACCUCUUUCAGCAGGGAAGAAGCGAAAGUGACGGUACCUGCAGAAGAAGCGCCGGCUAACUACGUGCCAGCAGCCGCGGUAAUACGUAGGGCGCAAGCGUUGUCCGGAAUUAUUGGGCGUAAAGAGCUCGUAGGCGGUCUGUCACGUCGGGUGUGAAAGCCCGGGGCUUAACCCCGGGUCUGCAUUCGAUACGGGCAGACUAGAGUGUGGUAGGGGAGAUCGGAAUUCCUGGUGUAGCGGUGAAAU
rnacentral:rRNA from 1 species